AGCGUGCGCAGGCGGUAAUGUAAGAACAGAUGUGAAAUACCCCGGGCUCAACCUGGGAACUGCAUUUGUGACUGCAUUGCUGGAGUGCGGCAGAGGGGGAUGGAAUUCCGCGUGUAGCAGUGAAAUGCGUAGAUAUGCGGAGGAACACCGAUGGCGAAGGCAAUCCCCUGGGCCUGCACUGACGCUCAUGCACGAAAGCGUGGGGAGCAAACAGGAUUAGAUACCCCUGU
rnacentral:rRNA from 1 species